AGGAUUUUUUCUUCCUUUCUGGAUAGGUUAUCCAUGGUUUUUUUGGUUUUUACUUGCAGGACUCUUGGCUGCCAGCUUAAUCUCUGAAAAAUAACUCCUAUGUCCAUGUAGUCUAAACAGUAGACCUGAUGGGCAAGAAAAGAAGAUUUUGAGCACUGUGCUGCUUUUAACAGUGCAAAAACACUAAAGAAAUGGUUUACAAAGACACUUGGAACUGCAAGUCAUGUGUGUACCCAAACUAGUUUGGUUGUACAUGUUGUUGUGGUGGAAGCCCAUGGCAACGACUUGCUUACAGGUAGGAACAACCUUUAAAAAGUCAGUCUUUCAUUUGACUUUGUGUCAGCUUCUAUGUACAGUGACAAGUACAGCAGGCAUUAGAAUAACUUACUGAAUUGCUGGUGGUUGUGGGACAGAAUACAUUGACCAUAUGUCCUGGUGAGAACUGCCUGGAAUUGCUUACUCUGUCUUUUAUUUUUAAUUUACUUACCAUAGAUUAGCUCUAUGACAGAUCUCGAGGACCUUGCAGAAUUACAAAAUGCCAUUGGUUUUAGCAUUAUACCCACUACUCAGAACUCACUGACAAGGAACAAGAAGAGAAGUAAACAACUGCAAGUUCAGACUGCUUACUGUAACAUACUGCUCAGAUGUGCCUCAGAACUACCCACUGUUCCAUCAAGGAACCAGACACAGUCUUCUCAAAGUCAUGCAGUCAUGGAUGCGUUGUGGAGAUGAAAGCAUCUAGAACUAUGAUCC
rnacentral:lncRNA from 1 species